UCUCAUCUUUGCCUCAUUCUCAUAGUUUGGCUUCCUUUCAUUCGUUAUUUUUCUUUAAAUAGUGUGGUUUUAAAUUAGAUUUUUAGGUUUAAUUUUCAAAGAUUUUCCUCCUUUUGAUUUUUUACAAUUUACUAUUUACGUUUAUUUUCACUUGCUUGCGUAUGGUUUAUUUACUUCAUCGUCAUUUACCCUUUUUUGAAAGUUUGAUAGUUUGUGUUUGACUACUUUGUUUCAAUUUUACCAUGUGUUUGACAAAAAUGCAGUGAUCAAGGAGUAGUUGCAGAGUGAUAAUGAAGGUCUUUAUUAUGCUUCAAAGUGUUGGAUUUGUAAGGAAAAACAAGAAACCCAAAGUAAAACAACAUGGCCAAAUUCAAAGACGCAGUUGUUAAUCACAAGGGAUCAUUUGGCCGACCUACAAAUUCUGAGGAAACAAUGAAAAGUAAAGAAGAAGUAUGCAUUCAAGUAAGAGAAUGAUUCAAGGAAUUUCAGUGAGAUGACAAUA